CUAUCAAACAACAGUGAGCUUUUAAAUUACAAGGUUGAUUGUCAUGGGGAGAAUGAAACUGUUCGGACUCUAGCAAUGCUCGAAGAUGAUCCUUUAUUGGGCUCUACUUUAGACAAAUGUAGAACUCGAGUUUUGGCACCUGUGGAUGUGUAUAGAGGUGAGAAUGUUGGGACUGAAGGGAUGCUAUUGCUAGAAAGAGGGUUCGUGUUGAAUUGGACAGCAAGUGAUUGUAGCAUUUGUGAAGAGAGUGGUGGCAAGUGUGGAUUUGACACCGCCACGUACCAUUUCCAAUGUUUCUGCCCUGACAGACCUCAUGCUAAGCGGUGUUAUUCCGGUGAGUCAUUUUAUUAUUAAUUUUUUUCCUGUCUUGAAAUUUUAUCUCUUUCUUGAGAGUGAUGGCUAGUAUAUGGUAUAGGCCCAUUGCCCACUUGUGUGUUUUGGCUAAGAUAAGUGCCAGUUGUGUGUCGUGCUGGGAUCGUUAUGUCCACGCAACCAUGGUCAAAACAUCUCUCUUCUUUCCACUGUCUAGAUGAGGUUCAUCUUUGCUAGGCUAGCGAAUUCUUUGAUGAACAGUGACAGAUACCAAUACCACACAUACACCAAGAACGAAGUGUCUGUAGGUAGGGGCUGUUUAGGCAAAAAGGAACCCGUUUAAGGGAUCGGACAGGUGGACUUGGCUGGAUAAAUCUAAUUCUCUAACAUUAGCCAGUCAUUAGGAUUAGGGAUAAAUCUAAUUCUCUAGAAUUAACAAGAAUCGCUAUGAUUAUUGAACGUUCAAGGGUUCAUGCAGUCUCCUCUUGAUUUUUAUCUUACAUUGGUUUCUCAAUGAUUUUUUUCCUAGCGGGAUCCUUGAACGCACUCGAUAUUCCCUCAUGUGGAUCUUCUAUCACCCAACUCACGCCGUCCAUUUUUUUUCCUUUUCUUUUUUCAUUUUUAACAGCCAUUCAGUAUAGAACUAGCUGAACAAAAUCAUUGGUUUAGUGCCAGAAAAAACAAAACAUAUAUUUCAUUUUUCUUUCAAGCCACCUUCAUUUUUAACUAGUCAUCUUCUCCAUUUCUUUUUUUAAAAAAGGAGCUUUGGUUUUCUGGUCUGAUUUGUUUGAUUUUAACAUCAAACGACCAUUUAAUCUACACAAAUACAAAAAUGGAUUUGGAAACAAAUUUAUCUGAAAAAAAAGGAUUCAAUAAAAAAUUUGACAUUGCUAGUAACGGUGUUGGAUGGGAGAGCUCCAUCGUUGAAAGUGAAAGAAGUCAAGAUAUCAAGUACAAGGACUGCUUUUGGAAAGCAUAUCAUACAGGAAGCAGUUUAAGAAGAAAUCAAGAGUAGGAGGACCAAAUCCACCUUUAACCCAAUCUUUUUAAAAAUCUAGUCUGCUAUGUUCAUAACGCCCGCAGGUGGGACCUCGAACUCUAAACUUGAAUAGCCGUCCUAGUCAAAGGUAGUUUUCUUCAAUUAAUGGUCAAAAUAAGCAAACGUACCAGAAAUGAAGAAUCAAACUCUUUUGCCAAUUGUUUAGCUACCUCUUCUAGCUCUCUGAUAAGCCAUCGAGUCAGAGUAAUAGAUUUCCUUACCAGUGGGACAGCUUUUGACUUGACUCUCUAGUCUGACGCCCGCAAUUAUUUAUUGAAUUUCUAUCCUAAAAUUACAGAAGAUUAGUUCUUGAUUUUAAUUAUUCAACGAAGUGUACUGAAAACUCAGGAUGAGCGCGGCGAAAAAAAAUUGUGCAUCAUCAAAUAAUUAUUGACCGAAACUAGUUAAAACAUCGGGAUCUAUGACUCUCUUCUGUAAAGAACAGGAUCGGGGGAGUUUUCUUGAUCGGAGGGACAAUUUAUAUGCAUCUAGAUCCUCAAAGUUGAAAACUUUAAAUCACAGCUAACUGGUUUUCCUAAUGAAGAGAUAUGACCAUUGAUGUUGAAUUUGUUUUUUUUUUGAAAUAUAUGAGGCGGUAUAGUCUGACCACCGAAAGAGAACUACUUAAUCAUUUGGUUUGAAAAUUAAUUAAUGCUUAAUAGACGAGGCCGACAAAGUGAUGAAAUAUCCCGAGUAAUAAAAUAAGUCGUGCUCUUGAUAACAACGUUUCCGGCCGAGAGGCUGAUGAUGAAUUUCCAUCUAGCUCCUUUGCAUCUCCGAUUCUUUUAGCUCCGCAUCAUUGCCAAAGAAGUGGCGGCCGAUGUGGGUUUGAAGAUGAUACCAGUGUAUUUUUCUGUGAUGGUGGCAUGGCUCGCUUCCAUGUUUUUAUUUGUCUCGUUCCAAACUCUUUCUGGAUUAGUUAUGAUCUCAUUCUCUGGAUCUCUUAAGUUUAGGUCUAGAUAACUACAUAUCCCCCCAAAUAGAAAAGGAAGACCGAGUAAGAUCAAAGAAACUAGCAGACUGAUCACUAAAUAGAUACAAAUAGGUGCAAAUUCUAACAUCACCACAGCCCUCUGGGUUCAUUCGCUCUGCUCGUGUAGCGGAAUACCGGAAAAAAAAAAGAAAAAUCAUGAAAUAGGAAUUGCCUACCCGCUUUCCCCCCCUUAAGGAUUUUUUGUCAUUUUAGUGGGAUUAUGAAUUCUAAAUUACAUACAGUUAAAGGACAAAAACACAGGUUACAAAGUGAUCAAUAUCUUGUUAGAAUAAGUGGUAAAGAUCGCCCCCCUUAAGAAACAUGGCAUUGCAAAUAUACGGCACUCGCUAUCAUAUUUGUAAGACUAUUCCUCUUGUUAGUGGCAGAUGCUACCCAGUACUCCAGGCACCACUAGGCAAUGUCAUAAUUUGAUUUAUCCCAGAUUCUCAGAAGAUAGUAUUAAACCUAUAUUAGUCAGCUUAGUAGUCCUUUUUCUAGUGUAAUUGCUAGGGUACAAUCCCAUGACGCUCCAGCCUACAGGGGAAGGUAACAGGCAGGUUAAAAUGGUGAUCCAACAAGGUAGGGGAUAAUAGCAUGAACAAAAUGGUGAUUCAAUGGAGGAAAUGAGUUAUUAGUUCGAUCACCAAAACUGUCCUGUCUUUAAUGCUUUCAACUGUGUUCCAAUAUUCGAAAUGCUGGGAUAUUAGAUCCCGUACUGGGGUAAAAAAGAAGAAGAAAAGAAUGUCAGGCCUCUAUAACACAAGGAAGAGAAUCAUGGAGAACCCAUGACACCCUGGAAUUAUCAGACCUUCAUUAUGUAGUUAUUUUACCACAAUCUGAAAACCUUGUAAUUCCAUUCUCUUUAACCUUUAUCUGCUUCACUGACAAAGACCACCCAAAACUGUUGCCACCAGUUGAUGGCCAUGAAUUGCCCUAUCAUAAUUCAACCAGUUUUGCAUUUGAGAGAUGAUUAUGACCUCAAUUUACCUAUGGACUUCUCGAUGAUCUCACCACAUUUGAAUUAUUUGUCACAUGCCAACUCUCUCUUGACUCCAAUUUCUAAUAUAUUACUACUGCAAUACCAUCGAUAACUUCUGCAAGCUUGCAAAACCACGUAGUGAAGUUCCUGUUUUAUCAUCAUCUUUGUCUUUUGAUUCCCUUUCUUUUAGGAGAACCAAUCCCAUAUCAUCUUUUCCUUUAACAGUCUAGACGUUAAUAACAAGCUGCAAAAAAGUCCUAGCUUAUAUCACCACAUGAUUAUGUUGAAUGCGCGGGGCUUUUCUAGAGCCAAAGCAAAGUAUUUCUACUGAAGUUGGUUGACUAAUACAAAAUUUUACAUAUUCAAGCUAUAUUUUCAAACGUGUGGCCCACUGCCCACCAUAUAAUAUUUCAGUUCAUCUUCACAAGUCUUCUGAAUCAAAUUUCUUAGUCAACUGUCGUUUCUAUCGGGUAAGGAACUAAGUACAUAUUGUAAGUUGCAUUAACGGAGAGGUACAGCCUACAGAGGCCUAGCUGUUACUAAGAGUAAGAGCAGCUAAUCCUUGUUUGUGUCACUGUUGUUUUUAUUUCCUAAAUUGGAAAUCUCAGUAUGGUGCAUGUUUGUCUGUUAGUAUUCUUUAUUUUUUUUCACCUCAAACUUCCUCUCUCCGCUGAAGAAGAAACUAGAUAACAUCCAAAUUGCCAGCCCUUUCAUUGUGGGAAACUCGGUGAAAUCCACUUCCCAUUCACCAACGCCUCACGUUCGCACUGUGGUUUUCUUAUGGUUGAUGGUUGUGAUAAAGAUACGCAGAAGAUCCAAUUAGAGAGGGAAGGGAGGUGGUAUGAAUUCUAAAUUCCUCUUGUAGGCGUUGGAAUGGACACAGUACCAUUUCAGUUCUCACGAUGAAGUCCUCUGGCAGCAGUAAUUUUCCCAUGAUUGCAAAACCUUCAACAAUUUGACUUUUCCUUGGCUCCCUUUUCUCUUCUUGCAAUUUAUGCCAAAUCUGACCUUGUUCAAAUGCAACAACCCUCACAGAGAUGCAAGCCAAUUAGAUUCAAUUGAUGUAGCCUGCAAAAACUUGAGUAUCUACCACACUCAGUAAUUCGAAAGUUUACCGCGUCUUCAACCUCAGUGUUCGCUUAUACAGCUUCCUGGAAACAGUUAUCAACCUAACAAUGACAUAUUCACAAUGCUUAAUGCCAAGUUCACACUUGAAGUGCUAGUAUCUCCUGCCUGUCUGCACUGUCAUCGUGGAGGAGGAGAAUGCCAGAUUAAAGGGCAAAAACUUCUUUGUUCCAUUGCAAAAGAAGGUAUAGACGACAUAACACAUGCAGAAAGACUUGCAUAUCUACAUUGAUGAAGCCUACAUAUUUCACUAUAUUUUGUGCUCUAAUAGUUCUUAAAAUUUCAUAACCGUAUAGAGUUAGCUUUAGCUUUAGAGCCCUUCGUUAAACAUGCCCAGCGGAUAAGAACUCAGUCUACAGCAGUGAAUCUAUAUUGGAAAAAAACUUCCAAGGUUUGAACCUUUGUAUGUGUGUAUUCCUUAAUUUCUGAGGUUAAUUGGUUCUGAAUCACUUUAGUUUUAUUGUUCGACCUCAUAUAACAUCAUAUUUCUUUGAAAAUCUUUUUGCAGAAAAACCCAAGCUGGGAUUGAAGCUAGGAUUAGGUAAUUCAAAAUCCAAUAUUUCUCUGCUUUAUAUGUUUCCAUGAUAACCUCCAUAAUUUCUAGCAUGUAUGGAUUCCUGCAAGGUUAUCUGUCAUCCAAAGUAAAGGUCAUCUGCCAUCCAAAGUAAUUCUCUCCUUUAUCAGGUUUUGGCAUCGGAUGUCUGUUCAUGGGAAUAAUUUUGUUGUCCUACAUUUACCUGCGCCGCUUCAAGAAAAGACGUGAUUCCUCAAACUUGUUAUCUAUGAAUUCUUCAUCUGAUCCCUCCUCAAAAGCAGACCUAGAAGGAGACGGUGUUUACCUCAGCAUCCCCAUCUUCUCUUAUACUGAACUUGGGCAAGCCACCAAUAAUUUUGAUAGUGAAAAGGAAGUUGGAGAUGGAGGUUUUGGAACUGUUUACUAUGGUAAGAAGAUGAAAGUUUAAAGUUUCUGUUGAUAGAUCAACUAUACUACAGUAGAAAACUUCUAAUCAAAAGAAAACUCAAGCAUUCCUAAAACUCAAGCAAUUUGAUCAAUGGGUUUAUUUUGAACCAGGGAAGCUCCAAGAUGGACGGGAAGUUGCAGUUAAGCGCCUAUAUGAACACAACUAUAAAAGGGUUAAGCAGUUCAUGAAUGAAAUUGAAAUUCUUACUCGCCUGCACCACAAAAACCUCGUCUGCCUUUAUGGAUGCACUUCACGACGCAGCCGUGAGCUGCUACUUGUCUAUGAAUACAUUCCCAAUGGCACUGUUGCUGAUCAUCUACAUGGAGAUCAAGCAAAGUCCAGUCCACUGACCUGGCCUAUUCGAAUGAGCAUAGCAAUAGAAACAGCUAGUGCUCUGGCUUACCUUCAUGCUUCUGACAUCAUACAUCGUGAUGUCAAGACGAACAACAUCCUCCUUGACAACAAUUUCAGCGUGAAAGUUGCAGAUUUUGGGCUUUCCAGGUUGUUUCCCAAAGACGUUACUCACGUCUCGACUGUUCCACAAGGGACUCCAGGCUAUGUUGACCCUGAAUAUCACCAAAGUUACCAACUUACAGAUAAGAGCGAUGUCUAUAGCUUUGGGGUUGUCUUGAUUGAGCUCAUAUCAUCAAUGCCUGCUGUUGAUAUAACCAGGCACCGGCAUGAGAUUAAUCUUUCUAACUUAGCAAUAAGCAAGAUUCAGAAAUGUGCAUUUGAUGAGUUGAUUGAUUCACGUCUUGGGUAUAAUUCAGACGAGGAAGUUAAAAGAAUGACAACAUCAGUUGCAGAGUUGGCUUUUCAAUGUUUGCAGCAAGACAAGGAAACAAGACCUUCCAUGGAAAAUGUCUUGCAGCAGUUAAAAAUAAUUCAAGGCGGGGAGUCCAUGGAGAAUCUUUCUAACUUAGCGAUAACCAAGAUUCAGAAAUGUGCAGUUGACGAGCUGAUUGAUUCACGUCUUGGGUAUAAUUCAGACGAGGAAGUUAAAAGAAUGACAACACCGGUUGCAGAGUUGGCUUUUCAAUGUUUGCAGCAAGACAAGGAAACAAGACCUUCCAUGGAAAAUGUUUUGCAGCAGUUAAAAAUAAUUCAAGGCGGGGAGUCCUCGGAGAAUCUUGAAGAAGUCCAUGACGAUAACAAGAAGUCGAAGAACACUCUGCCACCACCUUCACCACCCUAUUGCGACGAGGCUGGUCUAUUGAAGAACAUCCGUCUGCCACCUUCACCAGUUUCUGUUACCGCUAAAUGGGCCAGUAGUAAUUCUACUACACCUAAUGAAAGCGUUUAAGUUUUCUUCCUCCAUGCUGCUUACUUUCAAGUUGGUUGAUGAGAGCAUGGCUAAUACCUGGUUUGAGUGCAAAUGUACGUUGCCUUCUCCUUGUCGUCGUUUUGUUACACCCAAAAAUUAAAUCCUAGGCACAGCAUUGGCGAGUUUAUGUAUAAGGGAGUCCAUAUAAUUACUGGAGGUUAAAUCACUAAUGUUUAUAUUCAGGCUUCAAAUCAUGGCUCAUAUUUUUUUUUGAUGCCUUGUUCUUUGGCUUUCUACAUAUUGAUUGUAUUUAAGAGUAUUUGACAGGUUAUUUUUCAAAUAAUUUUUUGUGCCGAAAUGCAUGCUAAUGAUAUUUUUUUAUUUUUUAAAAUUAUUUUUGACAUAGCAUAUUAAAACAAUCUAAAAUAUACAAAACAUAUUAAAUUUUAAUAAAAAUAAAUAAAUUUUUUAAAAAUAUAUGCACCGUGUUUCCAAAGGCAGAACUUAUAUUUCACUUCUAAUCCUCUAAUUACCAACCACGGAACCUUGAUAGCUACCAACUUAUAGCAGAACAGUGAAGCAAAGCUUUUGAAGUGGAUUCAUCCCUAAUCGAGCGCAAGCAGCUUCAGAUUCUGUUUCUUAGUAGUAACCCCAAGACAUCUAGUUUAUGAACUGAAAAAUAGAAAAGAACUGGAAAGUAUUAUUCACUCCAUUUGCAUCAACAUGCCAGUUCCCAUCUUUGUUCAGACUAAGAUCUAUAUAAUAUUUCAAUUAGUUAAAGAAUUUAAGUUAAUGAAAUUAUAAUAAAUCAACAUGAAUUGUGGAAGUUUUUUAAUUGAAUAUUUAUUUUGUAGUAUUUGAUAUCAUGUUUUUUUUUUAAAUUUAAAUACAUAUUAUAAAUAUUUUUGAUUUUGAUGAAUGAAAAGAGCAAACAUGCAACCAACCAUCCAUAUCACUUAAUAAAAUCUAAUUAAGAGAAUCAGUAAUUGGAAGGAGGCAAGAAUGGACAACAACAAAAAAGGCUCAGACUGGAUGUGAAAAAAAAUUAAUUACUUGAAAAAAUCAUAAAUAUUGAAAGAAGAAGAAAGCCGGGUUGUGCACACAAUAGGUCUGCAUGUAUGGGCCUGAUUGCUGAACUCCUAGGCUGUACGGUCUUGGCCCAGGAACUUGAAAAUAAAUCAAACAAAAGUGGAUGACGCGUUGUUUGCAAGGAGUGACGUGCUGUCCACCGCAUGCAACUUUCGAUGAUCAUUUUGUCACCGAACAAAUGGGGAUUGCUGUUUUUGGCCCUUCACAUUUUUUUUUAACCUAAAAACACCAUCGAAUCAUUUGAUAAAAACCAUUUUGAAUCUCAGAACACUUUCUAAGGCCCUCUAGAAAUUAAAAAUACCAAACCUUCCUGCGUCUCCAGUCUUCUCUUUCCUCCCUCAAUACUGAGGGACCUUGUUGUAAGAAAAAAUAAGUUUAGGGAUAUUUGCAUACAACUUCUUAACUUCAAGAACCAAAAUGUAAAAAAAAGAAAGAAUAGAUCCUAUAGUUUGAUCUAACUUUCAUUCUCUCUUGUACUUUUAUAAAUUAUACUUUUCAUUUCGGGCCAAACAAAAAACUCAUACAAAAUAUAAUAUUAAGGACGUAAAAUAUUAUUGAAGAUAUAAACUAUACAAUAAAAAUACUAUUUAUAAAAAUAUAAAAGGAAAGUGAAAUUCAGAUACAAAUAAGAGUUUUUUAAUUAUUUCUGUAAAAAAAAUACACAAAAUUUCCAAAAAAAACAAUCUUUGGCAGAACAACCAUAUUUAGUUUUAGUUUUUUUUUUUUUUAUAAUAAUAUAAUAUAAAGUGCAGCCUGUCAAUUUUUAUGGUUGAACUUGAAGCGUCAGGGAUUCAAGUAAAGGGAAUAGAAUUAUGGUUGGCGGUGGAAUUUAAUGCUGGAAAAUAGACUUGGGAAAAUACGUCGCUGAAGUCUUCUUUUCCUUCGAAAAAUAAAAACAUUUUAAUUUUUUUUUAAAUAAACUUUUAAAACAUAAAAACAAAAUUAUAUUCUUAACUUUUUUUUUUUUUAUAUUACACGCGCUUUUAUAACAAGCUGCAAAGAAGUCUUUGUUGAUAUUGUGUGGUACGUAUUUGAAAAGAAGGUAUUCAAUAGCGUAGUGUGAUAGUAAAAAAUUUGAGAUUUGUAUAGUAGGUUUUGAGUUCGAGUCAGGACGUGUAUUUUUUGUAAGAGCCUGAGAUAACCAUAGUUUUACUCACUUACUUGGACCCACAAAAUACGUUUUUUUUUUUAAAGAGUAAUGUUUUCUCGAAUCAAAAAAAAGUAUUUGGGAAGAAGACUUUGAAAAGUCAAUAGGUCAACUUCUCUUUGAUUUGCUAGCCAGUGGGAAGGAGUCUUUCAAAGACCAGGAGCAAAUUUACUGGGCUGGUGCUAUCACCCACCAAACAGACGAUAUCUAACAUGUAAAUUUCGCAGGGCUACCCCACCUGCUGGCCAUCUUAAUUACUAGUCUUUUGCAAGUCAACUAACGUGUGUUGCCAGAUAAAAAAUUAUAACAUUUGAGAAUUGACAUGAAACUAGUUACUUGUUCUCUAUUAAAACGUCUAAGAACAGACGACGAGCUUCAUUGGUUAUAUGAAUAGUAAACAUUUAAGCUUUCUUCUUCUUCUUUCAUUAUCCCCUUUCUUUAUUUUAAUUUAAUCAUUUUUUUUCUCAUUAUUAUUGUUAUUAUUAUUAUUAUAAUAUUUUAACAAUCAUCCAACUUACAUUUAAUUUGCUAGGUUAUCUUAUCAUAUUGAAACAAUUCUUAUAUAAUUUAAUUUUAGACCCGAGCUAAAAAAAAUUGAGUUGAGAUGAUUUUUUUUUCUUUUAAUUUCAUCAUUUUAUUCUUCUAAAUUUCAUCCUUAAAUAUUUUUUACCGGUAGGACAAAUUGUCUCUAGACCGAUCAAGUUGACUAAAUCAAGUCGGAACAACUUCUAUAAAAUUUAAUAGUUAGGUAGGAAGUUGGGGUGAUAGAUUUUUUAUAUAAAUUUCAUCCACAAGCUAAUUUACCGGUCAACCAAAAUGCUUUUGAACAUGUCAAGUAGACGGAGUUACACUAAGAAAACUUCCACAUAAUUUAAUAAUAAAUUCAAGAUAAAUAAAAAAGUUGAACCAGGAUGUUUUAAUAUUGACUCGUUAAAUCAGGUUUAAUAAAAAAUCAAAUAACUCUUCUUGGUUGCAUAUUUUUUACUACAUCCACAAAAGUUUUAAUGUAGUGCAAAUUAGAAACUAAAAGAUCUUUGAUUGUUGUUGUUUUUUUCUUGACAGGUAACUCUGAAUUUUCUCUAAGCUUUGGUUGUGAUAAUGUUAAAAACAUAUUUGAUAGUUUUCAUGGCAUUAUUUAUUUUUGUAUUUAAAAUUGUGUAUAUGUGUGUUUUAAAAGUGUUUUAUGACUUGAAAAAGAAUUGAACAUGUUAAGAAAAAUAUAUAUAAAAAUAUUUUAAUAUAUUUAAAAGAAAAACAUUUUUAAUAAGUAUUAAAUAUCACAAUAGUAAACACACACUUAAUCAUUAAUGAACUAGAAGCAGGGGCAAAAUUAGGACUUUAAACAUGAAGGGUGCCAAAAUGAAAUAUAUUACGAUACAUUUAAAAUUAAAUAAACCAGCGAUGGCUAUGGUACAUAACCUCACUUCAAGUUGUAAGAAGGCCCAGACGAUGAAGGGCACAGAGUUUUUUAAGCUGGUCAACUUGCGCUGCUUUCCUGACAAUGAACGCUUCCUUUGGGCAACACCGACUUGUAGUCUUAUACUGCAUUAUAUUCAACAGUCUAAGAUUUCUAAUCAGAUAUGAACAAGCCUCCUGCUACAAAAAUUGUCAGAGGCAGAAAAUCUGCAAAAAUCAAGUCAAACUCACCCUCUUAUAACUCCCGCUACAUCGAUUCCCUCUUCACCCUCCUCCCCCAUAAUUUAUUCACCAUCGUUCCUCUUCCUCCCUUUCUCUCUCUCCUCCACAAAAUCAAAGAUCCAUAAAAAUGAACCUUAACUUCUUUUUAACACCUUUUUCUCCAAUAAUAAUUCUCUUUAUUGUCACUCUCUUUCUCCUGGCAAAGAAAGCCUCAUGUACAGACCCUCAGUUCCUAGCCUGCAACCCCAAAAGCUGUGGCGAUGACCAAAAUAUAAGCUUCCCGUUUCAUAUCCAAGGCGUGCAACCCGACUAUUGUGGCUACCCUGGAUUCAAUAUCUCUUGCAACGACAAAGGCAAGCCAGUCUUUAAUCUGUCCAAUAAUGAGUAUAUCAUCGACGAAAUCUACUACCAAAACCAGUCUCUUCGUGUCUCAAAUGCAGCUGUUUUUGGCAAAAGCCCCUCCUGUACUCCUCAAAUACAAAACAUAUCUCUAGAUGAUGGCAGGUUUCAUCGAUCUUCUAACAGUAAAGGCCUCUUCUUGCUUUACAAUUGCAACUCAACGCUGCUAUCAAAUAACAGCAAGCUUUUAAAUUACAAGGUUGAUUGUCCUGGGGAGAAUGAAACUGUUUGGGCUCUAGCAAUGCUCGAUGGUGAUCCUUUAUUGGGUUCUACUUUAGACAAAUGUGGAACUCGAGUUUUGGCACCUGUGGAUGUGUAUAGAGGUGAGAAUGUUGGGGCUGAAAGGAUGUUAGAAAGAGGGUUUGUGUUGAAUUGGACAGC
rnacentral:lncRNA from 1 species